UCUGCAGCUCGGGCGGAGCGGGGCAGCCGCUUCCCGCCCCGGGCGAGAAGAGAGGCAGCGGCCAACUACGGGGCCGGGGCUUGCGAGACCCGUAACCGGCGCGAAUGACCCCUCGCGGGCGGCCGGGGGCUGCGGGCUGGGACGGAUCCAUGAACAACAGGUGAGCCCUCUGCUGAGGGAAGGAACAGUCUGUGCUCCCCGGUCAGGGAAACAUGUCCCGUCGGAAACAGACCACUCCUAACAAAGUUCACUGAGCCAUCAGAAGCAGUAAGUAGGACCACAAGAAAAUAAAGGGACCGAAGGAUACAAGAAACAUGUCAAUGGUGAUGUCUCCAACUUGGGUUGGGAAAUCUUGCCUGUCUUAUGAUGAACGCCAUUGGGACUUUUCUGUCUACCUAGCCUGCUGUGUAUCUGGAGGGCCCAGAAAUGCCAUGCAGUGCACUCACGAGGAAAAUCGCAAAGAGCAUCAGCUCCACGAACUGGGUGAGCCAGCAGAAUGAGGAGUCAGGCUGAGACAUAGCAGACACGUUACUGAGACUUCUUCACAGGGACUGAAGUGGUUGGGAGGAAAGGAGUAAAAGGGACAGCAGUAACCACUACAGCAGUGUGGACAACCCAAAAUAGCGAUGGGGCAGGUGGACUAGAUCCACAGUGGUGGAAACACAUGCAGAUUUCAGGUCCAGGAAAGGAACACAGAAGACCUACAUGAACAGGGACUUUAAAUUGAUGUAUGAGGAGGGAAUAAAGAGGCUCAUCUGAGAGACCUUUCUGUUUAGGAAGGAAGACAGGGGAAUGAUGCCAUUUCUUUUGAUUUUGUUUUAUGGAUUUUGGGUUGGGGGUUGUUUGUUUGUGUGUUUGUUUUCCAGAACACCUGAGAGUUAUCCUGCAUUCAUACAGUUCAAGAAGGGAAGGGCUCAGGAAAAAUAUCAUUUCUGGCUACAAAGUUGAUACAGCACCAGAUCCUAGCAGUAAUGCCCCUGUUGCACAGUUCCACAGGGUUGCCCCUUACCUGCACAGCUGCUCACAUGGCAUCCCACUCCAUUUACAAGAGUAUGGAGAGAACUGGAAUGCAAAGCAGAGGCAUUUUUAUGAUCUUUUAUUGUCCUACAUUUCUAGCUGCUUGUAAACAAAUACACUGACUUGUUUUGGUGUUGUAGUCGGACUGUUUCAGUGUUGUGGUCAGCCUGCAGCCAUUUUUGUAUUUAAUAAAGAAACUUCUGCAGAAGAGUGUGAGUUCACUAUUGAACAUAAUAUCCUUUACUGAUAGUAGUGAUUGUAAAGCUAUCGCCUGUCUUACUCCCUUUCCAAAUGAAUAGAAGUGGAUUCAAAGUGGGGUGGAGGUGGGGGUGUAAGUGUCUGCAUGUGGGAGCAUGUGUGUGCAGAAACAAGUGUAACUCCAUACUACCAAAUAGUAGUCCAUCAGUAGAUGAACAGGACAGUAUUCCCUAAGUUCUUUUGGAGACAAUAUUAAUUUAAUACAUAAGAAAUUCUGUAUAAGCUAAAGAUAGCAUUUUUAAAAGUUUGUCUUUCCCAGUCCCAUGCUGCCUUUUUUUAGAUACAGGCUACUGGAGAAUGCACAAGAUGUCAUCUGCUAACACCACUGGUUUAGUUAACAAUUUGCAUUUCUGGCUGUGAGCUGACAGUUUUCUGCAGUGCGCUGAAUCAAUGCUAACUUGGUUCUGGGUAUGUUGUACAGAAAGGCCACUGGCAGACACACUCUUAGUUGUUGUGGUUGAUGCUAGUGUUACUGACAGGAGGAGUUUCCUUCUCAGCUACAUCAUGUAAAGAUCACACCUUUUCAAAUCCUGCAGGCUGUCUGCAUAAUCUGUGUAUCUGAGCAGAAACCUGCUGCCGUAGUACUCCAGGCUGCUGCUCAGUGGAAACGGGCUGGACUCACCUCAGCGGGUACGAGAGGCUGGUGUUGCAGGGUAGGCAAGCAGAGAGUUACUUAAAUGCUUUCUGAGAGGUGACUUCAGAGGUGCUGCACAGUGCAGGUGAGCAGCCCCAUACUUGUUCUGGUUUUGGCAAGCCUUGGUGGUGAAAGCAAGGCAGUGGCAUCAGUCUGACUCUCUGUCCUUGUGGCUGCCAGGGGAGCAAGUCUUUGCAGGGCUGGAGGAGCAAGCCCGACAAGCCAUGAUGAAAACCAACUUUCCUGGAGCUCUUGGUGACCAAAGGCCAGCCAUUUGUCAACUGCAAGACCCCGACUCCAGCAGCAGUGAGUUCUGCCCCUUCCAAUAAUGGCAAGGUAGCAGUGAUGACGAGGAAACCACUCAGGAUGAAGUUUCUUCACAUACCUCUGAGGAGGAUGGCUCAGUGGUGAAAGUAAAGAAAGAGUUAGAGAAUGCUGAACAACCUGUGGCUGAAGCCCCACUGAUGGGAGAAAAUGAGGCAAGUGUGUACUGGUGCUGCACUCACCUGGGCCUCCCAGGGGUGAGACAGGUACCAUCUAAACACCUUCUCUCCCCAUCAUUGUUUAUCUUUUUCUCCCUCCCACCUCCUCCAAACAACACCUUCUGGCAGGAAGGGAAAGCGUAUGAGGAGUUCUUGGGCUGCCAGGAGCAGGAGAUAACCUGCACAAAUAUGGUUCUCCUGGCUGGCCAAGAUGAUUGUGCAGAGUGUGCCCCCUUCUUUAAGUCCUCGUGGCUUUCUCUGACUGACUUCCCCUCCCUUCUGCUACAGAGCAGGCCUUGCCUACCAGAGCCACUGUGCUGGAAGAGCCUGUGUGUGCGUGGAGGCCUUGAGGCCUUUGCCUGUUCUGCAGACACCAGAGUUUUGCUCAGAGGCU